GUAGCCAUAGUUCUAAGAAUUUAAGCUUGCAAAGUUUAAGGUCAGGUUAUU
rnacentral:tRNA from 1 species